rnacentral:tRNA from 1 species
AAAGUUUUAGUAUAAAUUAAGUAUAAUUUAUUGUCAAUGAAUAGGUUAUAAGCUUUAG